AUUUUCUGAGUUUUUGACUUUUGAGUUGAACCUUAGAUGCCUUUGAGUACCUUUAGGUGCCUACUAUUGAUUAGGGAAUGAAUUAGAACGAGAUUGAACCUGGAACAACCUUAGUUGGGAUUCUGGCUUGUACUCGCCAUGGCGAGCAGAUGCUCUCGCCUCGCAAGCACUUCCAGAACUGAGUGCUUUUGAGGAUUGUCAGACCUGAGCUGUUUGGAUUGGUUAGGAAAGGAACUUUAGGUGCUAGUGAGACCUAUUAGAGAUAUUGACUGAGAACUGUGAAGCCUUUAUGAAUUGUUAAGAGAUUAUGAAAUGAAAUAUGGAAUGAUUGCCUUUACUUGAAUUAUUGUUGAAUGAUCAAGAAAUUGUUGAGAAUGAUUUGUUAUUAAGCUUGAUGUGAUUUGAUUAUGCUGCAAAUGUUAUUUAACUAAGUUGCAUGUUUAUGAAUAAGCUGAUGAUGAACUCCAAAUUAUUGGAUGUAUAAGUGAUAAGUUGAUUAAGAUGUUUUGUUGUUAGAGUCCAUGCAUUAGCAUUCAUUGAGCUUUGUCCUCACCAUGUUAGGAGCUUUGUCCUCCGCACGUUUAAGAGCUUUGUCCUCCGCACGAUGAAAGUAUAUUAAUACUUAUGAUGACGAUUGGUACCACAUGCAUAUAAGUGUCUAAGUUGCAUUGUCGCAUUUGUCGAGUUUAAAGAUGUUUAUGUUGUUGACGAUGAAUGAAGUUGUGAUUAUGUGAUACAUGUUUAUCAAAGAUGCAAUGUUGAUUUAGACUGAUUAUGAUGUUAAUUAUGAUUUGUAUUAUAUUGAUUAAUAUUAUUGUGUUAAGAAAUCUCACCCCUUCUGCUUGAAAAUGUUGCUCUUCGUAUGAGUAACUUGCAGGUGAUCGUGCUUAAGUGUGCAGUUGCUGUUGUGAGUGGCCUUGCCUCACUGAGUCGUCUAGGUCGCUCUGAUACGUAACGGGAUGGGGUUAUAUGUCAUGCAUGCUUCAUUCUUUUACGUGAACUAUUACGUUAUGUUAUGAUAUUGUUUAACUGUUGUGAUAUUUGAUGGGGCCUACGUGCCAAAACGUUUUAUGGAUUAUGAGAUAAUUUCCGCUGCAAUGUUUGAGUUAUUUGGUUAAAUUGUUAUUUAACCGAUUUGGAUUAUGUUUAAUGUGAUAUCCCGUUUGUUUAUGUUGUUUACUCUGAUAAAUGUUUAAGAAAUUUUUAUAUUGGGAAAACGGGGUGUUACACAAGACACGUUUUGUUUGACCAUAAUCAACGUUGUGUUUAUCUCCUAAAGAUGUGUCAACAUUUUAGGAGACUUUGUUUAUUUCCUAAAGAUGUUCCUACAUUUUGGGAAACUUGUGAUUUGGUUCUGAUCCUUGUGAGCGGAUCUUUUGAAGGAUCAACUUUGUUUUCUGAAGCCCAACAAGAAGGUCAAGCCUGUGCUGCUUCAGAUUAUAUAAGAAAGGACGCAACACUUAAUUGACUACUGAAGCCGUCAUAUCAGAUAUAAAGUUUUAGGGUUUUGAGUCUCUGUUAAUUGUGACCCUUUCUUGUGUCUCCUUGAUACAAGUUUAGGACUGUGUUUUUUGAGUUGUAAUAUUGUGAACUUCAUCAUAUUGACUGUUUUUGUAUAAGUCUAGGAUUCCUAAGUUGAAGUCAGUACGGAUAGUAGCUAGGUGAUAAGUUGUAAACUUGGGUAGCCUCCAGAGUAGGUGUGUUUUUCACCGAACUGGGUUAACAAAUAACCUGUGCCAUUUACGUUUUCUGUCUUUUAUAUUUUCCUUGUGCUGUUUAUUUAUCGUUAGUCUGACGUUGAAACAUUAUAAUCGACAUUCCAACGAUGUCGUAGUGUUGGAUCAUUACAUACAACAUCAGGAAAAUAGCAUGCUAGAAUUUCAAUUGGUAUCAGCUUUAGGGUGAGCUCCAAAGAAUUUACUUUCUGGCAUAAUGGACAAGGAAAAAUGAUUUGUGAACAGACCACCUCUAACAAUGGAGGGGGAGCCAAAUUUUUGUAACAUACAUAUAGAAACUAUUUCAUAUAAUUGACAGAAACUAAAAUUUUACCGUGUGAGCAAGGGUUCGAGUCCUGGCAAAAUUCAUUUUGUGAAUAAAAAUGCUUACAAAUAUUCAGAAAAAGCAUACAAUAGUAUUUUUAGAAUAUUUAAAAAAAGCGUUUAAAAUAUAUAAUUCGACCACGAGUAUUUUUAGAAUUUCUAAAACGUGAAAAAAGAUAAAAUCGGAAAAGAAAUAUAUUUUUAAUUUUUUAACAAGAGGUUUAGUAGAAUUUGAGAUUAGAUAGAUGGAAUAAUAAUAGGUAGUGUUUGUGUAAUAACGCCUUGUUUUGGAGCUUGACGCGAGUUUCAAACAAAACAAUGGUAUCUCAAGCGCUAUCAGUUCCUGCAACUCCCACCUUCACCAUCGCUUCUCACAGAAGAAUCCCUUCUCAACUCGCGUUUUCUCACAGGUUCAUUUUCAUUUCAACUUUCGCUUUCACUUUCACUUUUAUUUUUGUUAAAAUCUUUAUAAUUGAAUUGCAGAAACCCUUGCACGAUAGCUUCUUCCUUCCAUAGCCCCUAUGGUAGUUCUUCUCAAAUCGGUAAUUUCCAAUUUAAUCCUAUUUUCUUUGUCUACUAUUUUUAAUUUAAUAGUUUAAUUUUGACCCAAAUGAAUGAGUUUUUUGUUUUGAAAUGAUAAAUUUUAGUAUUUGUUAGUGAUUGGAGUUGAAAGAACUAUAUUAUUAGUAUAAGUUGACAAAUUUAGGGACUGAAUUGAUGGAUUUUCAUAUACUUUAUGGAUGAAGAAGUUGACAAACUUAUAUACUUUAGGGACUACCCAUUAUAUAUUUAUGCAGUUUAGGGAUUAAAUUGGAAAGAAAGUGAUAUUUUAAGGACUAAAUUGAUAGUUCAUUCAGUUUUAAUACGAAUUACGAACUACUUUUAUUUGAACAAUAAAGCAUGUUAUGAUAUGUAGGUUUUUGUUUUACACAGGCUUAUCAAGUAAAACCCAUGGUUUUCGCUUAAAACUUGAUGAGAAAAGUACACAUGAUGUUGGUACAAGGUACACGUUUUUUACCCUUGUUACUCUUUCAAGUGCUUCAUGUUUAAGUAUAAUGUGUUUGUUUAGUAGGAGACUUUUGAACACCUAUUAUUGUCUGUUUUUUCAUGAUUCAACUUCAAUCAAAGCCUGACUUUCUGUGAUUGUAUACUGGAAAAAUAAGUGUAAGGGCAUAUAAGUAAUUAGGUUGUAGAGUAGUGCGUUGUGAAACACUACCAAAACAUUCAGCUUAUAGACCGUGGCAUGGCGUGUUCAGAAUCAGCAUCAUGACCUAUCUAUGUAUGUAGUCUAUGGAAAUAUCAUUGUAGCUAUACUGUAAAGAGUUUAAUUUGUACGCACUUUCGGUUUGAUAUGUAGGGCGUAUAUGUAAAACUUUUUUACACACAUACGAAUUGAAUUAUUUUGUAAAUAGGUCUAUUUAGCUAAUUUUCUGUAUGCUUUUUUAUUCUUGAACUUUGAUACUUUAAGGAACCUCUGAAAUAUGAGUUAAAACCCCCGUCUCUGCACUUUUUUAAGUAUUAAUGAAUGAAGGACAACUUAUUGAUAUUUCAGUUUACUUGUAGUUAUGGUGUAAUUGAAGCCAAGACGGGGAACCCACCAAUAACACCAGCUAUCAUGACUCCUGGAGGAGCUCUUGAUCUCUCAUCUGUUUUGUUCAGGAAUCGUAUAAUAUUCAUAGGACAGCCAGUUAACUCACAAGUGGCUCAGAGAGUUAUAUCGCAGCUUGUGACUCUGGCCACUAUUGAUCCAGAUGCAGAUAUACUGGUUUGUUAUGUUUUGAUUUUUGACCCUAUUAUUUGACUUUUGACUAAUCUAACAAUGGAUUAUGUGAUUCAUAUUGAGCUGUUUCUAUUUGCAGAUGUAUAUAAAUUGCCCUGGUGGAAGCACUUAUUCAGUGCUUGCAAUUUAUGAUUGCAUGUCUUGGGUAAGAUAAAUGUUUUGUCAUCCCAAUCCUACCUUACACACACGCAACAAAAAAAAAAAAAAUUUACGUUUUCAUUUCUUUGUUAGCUACUUUAAUUCCUUAAUAGUUGUCAAUGUUUUUAACUUGAAAGCAUUUGGUGGCCACAAUUUUUUUCAGAUAAAGCCAAAGGUUGGUACAGUAUGUUUUGGAGUAGCUGCAAGCCAAGGAACACUUCUCCUUGCCGGUGGGGAGAAGGGAAUGCGCUAUUCAAUGCCAAAUGCUCGCAUUAUGAUUAAUCAACCACAAUGUGGAUUUGGGGUAAGAAUCAAGCUUUUGAAAUUUUGUUAUAGAAAAUGCACUUUAGAUUUUAUGAUGGAGCUGACAGAUUAUGAUAAAGAAAAAGACGAUACUGAUUUGGUGUAGGAAGAGGAUAAUAAUGAUGACAAUAUGGUCCCAGUCCCACUUUUUAUCUUAAUAAGUAGUUAAAUACGGACUGUGCCCUCUAGCAUAUGAGUAAAAUAAUCAAAUGCACACCGUGUUCUCAUUCCUCCCUACAGUUUACAAACUUCUAUAAAACUAGAGGACAUGAAUUUUGAGCAUUGAGAUUGAGGCUGAUGUGCCAAGUUGCAUUGGACAUAACCUUUUAAUUUUUGGGACAAGUUGCAAUGAAAUAUCUAUAAGUUUUAUUGGAAGCAUGAUUUCUUCAAAUGUAAAUGUUUUAUUCAAAGUCAAAUUUUUAAAGUUAAUCAUAGAAUGCACUAUGUAGUUUGGCAUUUGAUGUAUAGAUAUACUAAAUAACGAAAGUAUAUUGUUUUUCAUUUUUACAUAAAAAAGAGCUAUGGACUAUGGUGUAUUUUUGGUUGCAGCAGCAGUUUUAUUUUGUGCAUUAUGUGCUGUGAAGUGUAUCGGUCAAUACUCAAUAGGCAUGAUGAUUGAGUUUGUUAUUAAUCUGACUGCAGGGUCAUGUCGAGGAUGUGAGACGUCUCGUGAAUGAAUCUGUUCAAUCCCGCUAUGUUAGUCUUUCUUUCUCUGAAGUUGCAUAAUUUUUAUAAUUUACAGACAGCUGUAAAAUGCUCCUGUGAACUUGGUUUUGCUGAAAGUAGGAUUUUCAUUCAGUCUUGACUGUGACAUUUAUAUUUGUGAAUUGUGAAAACCCUUGAAUGUAUAGUGUUGGGACUUGUCAAUGCAUUAUCAUGCACCGCCUCUUUGAAUUCUUUACCUUGAACAAUAGAUACAUGACUUUGGUUUUUGAGACAAUAGAUACAUGACUUAUUGUCAAAAACUCUAUGAUCGAUUGUUCAAUAGUUUGAGUUACCGGUCCCCAUUCUUGUUAAUAGAAGUUGAAUUUUAGCGCGGGCAGGAUAGUUUUGUGCACUCCAUCUUGCUAAAAGCCCAAAUGACUUUGUGUGAGGAGGUGUCAUGGUUUUAAACCAUUGAUGAGCCAUCCAACAGAAUGGACUAUUGGAAAUUUGGUUCAUUGCAGAAGAAUAUUAAAUUUUAAUUUUCAAUAUAUGUGAAACUGGAAACUUCAUUCAACAUGAUUUCUUCAUGCUCAAGUUACCAUGGCAGCAGCUACUUAGUUAUUUUGUUUGUUAUAGUUUAUCUGACAGUUCUUGGAAAGCUAAGCCUAUUUUCCUCUUCUUCCCCCUUCUUUUUCGAGUACAGAAAAUGGAGAAGAUGUUCAGUGCUUUCACCGGACAGGCUUUAGAGAAGGUGCAAGAGUACACAGAGAGGGACAGUUUUCUUUCUGUUUCUGAGGUAAUAUGAACUGUUUUUCUUCUGCAACUGAAAUAAUAAGUUAAUGUGACUGAGAAUGGUUUCUUGAAGAAACCAGAAUGUUCUCUUUCUAACAAGAAAUGAAUUUUAUGACUGUUGAAGAACAGAAGCAAAUGUUUCUGUUAUAACUUCUGAAAAGAAUCUCAACACAUCAUUAUUCUAUCAAAAAUGAGUUAAAGAGUAUCAAUGUUUUUAUAUAUAUUGGAGAGGUGGGGGGUCGAUGGGGGUAAGCAAGAAUUGAGAGGAAUAUUGGGUUGGGUAAGUCAGGGUGAGGCCCUCUAGGUUCUUUCGCAUCAGGUUUAUCAUUUUCUGUGUCAGUUUUCUCCAUUUCUACAACCCUUUUGUAAAGAGCUCUUAUGUUGUUUGGGAAAUACAAAUUAUUAUGCGAGUGGAGAGUUUAUCAUCUAUAUCUAUAUGUUGUUUUACCCAUUGUUAGUUCCUAUCAUAUCAUGAUUUGUUUUGUUAUUUACUUUAGAUUAGAAGUUUAGUACAUCAGUAUAGGUAUAUUUUGAGUAUUCCCGUUAGCCAUUUGUCUAUUUUCUAUUGAGUAUUAUUAUGGUGACUAGUCUCAGUGAACACUGUUACUAUGUUGAGUUUAUGAUCUUAAUAGUUUUCCGGCUUAAAUGCACUUCUUGUCCGUCUCUUUUAACUAAAACUUGAUUUUAAUCAUCUCAUUUCUAAAUAUAGGAUUUUCGUCCCUAGUUUCAGGAUUUUUCCUCUCAACCAAGUUUGGGACUUAUUUUUCCCAACAACCCACUUCUGGUGCAAAUUAGGAAUGCAAAUCAUCAAAUGCAAUUCUACAUAAUUAAUAAAUACACCUAGUCAUGAAAAAUAAGCCUCAAAUUUGAUUGUGGGGGAAAAUCUUGAAACUUGUGAAACAUGAGGACUAAAGUUCUGGAUUUAGAAACGAGGGGAAUAAAAUACGGCUCUAGUUAAAAAUAGGGAGAUCAAGAGUACAUUUAAGCAUUGUUUUACUGCUAAAAAUUCUUACCCGGUAUUUUUGUAUCUGCCUCUUCUCAUUUCAGGCUUUGGAGUUUGGUCUUAUUGAUGGUGUCCUGGAAACAGAGUAUUGAAUCUAGAUUACAUGCUGUAUAUUUGUAUUUCUAAGAAGUUGAUAAUGUAACUCAUGAGUCAUGAAUGAAUAUGCAAUUAUUUGUAAGUUGACUUUCAUAGAACGGUCAAUCUAGUUUUUGUCUGCUAUUAUGGAGUUCAUAGCAGUUAACCCUUGUUUCCGUUUUGAUUUAAGAAUCUAGUUAUACCACAAACUACUUCACAUUGUCAAUUUUAAAGUAGGACAAGAAAGAGCCUGCUAAAGUGGUGCAGUUAAUGUCAAUUUGAUAAUGGAUUAUACGUAUACAUUUGUUCUCUUUUGAAAUUUAUAAAGAUAUAAUAUAAUACAACGAGAAAGGAGGCCAUUUUAGUGCAUUUGUUAGGGAGAUGAUAAUACAUUUGUUGCUCGGAGCAGCUACUUCUAUUAAAAAUAGAGUUAUCAAUGACAUUUUAAAAUGAAACUUGUCAUUAAAAAUUAGGAAAUAAUAUCUAUAAUCCUUAUGAAUAUCAUUAAGUCAAAUUAAGUUAUUUAAGUGUUAAAUUAAUACUUAAAGUUGGAUAUUUAGUGUCCCCGUGAGCAUAACUCAGUUGGUAGGGACAUUGCAUAAUUUAUGCAGGGGCCGGGGUUCGAAUCCCGGACACUUACUUCUUCACAUUUAAUUGUGAGCUCUAGGCACUAGAUUACUAGACAAAAAAAAAGUUUGAAAAUUUAAAAGUCUCGCUUCAGAAAUUCUCUCUCAACCUCACCAAUAAAGACUACAUUGAAAAAUCUACUUUUCAAUGUCCAAUAUACCUAAUCUUUGGGGAUUUUGUAAUGAGAAAUUGGACCCUAAUAGUGUGUUUGGAUGAGGGAAUAUUUUGAGGUAAUGUAAUGUUUUGAGGAAAUUCAAUUAUUUUGAGGUGGAUUCAAAUAAUAGAAUUCACCUCAAAGUAGUUGAAUUCCCUCAAAACAUUCCCCCAUCCAAACACACUCUAAAAUUUUCAGUAUCUCUGAUUAGCAAGCUUAUUUUUCAAUGAUUACUGACCACAAGAUUUACCACUUAUCAAUUGUUUAUGGCAGCACAUCUCAUGUUGGUAGAAGAAAAAUGAGGAUGGAGCUAAAUUCCCUUCAACAAAGGUACAUUAGUCCUUACUGCUUCAUUGGUGACUUGAAUGCUAUUUUGGGAGCUCAUGAAAAGGCAAAUAAACAUUUUCCUAAUAAUAACACUUCUUGGAAUGUUUUUAGAGGGUGGAGUGUUUGAACAGUUUGAUCCAUUUGGAUACCAGUCAGUUCACUUGGUCUAACGGCAAGAAAGGCAAUAUUAACACGAAUUCUGCUCUCCCCCUUCACUUUUCGCUCGCGCCCUGCAUCCAUGAUAAAAAUGCUCUUGCGCUAGUUAACUAACGCAUGUGUAAAUCAAACAUGACUUAAUUUUACACAUGCGUGACUUAAGUCACGCCGUAUGAGUUAACUCAUGCACCCUGUGUGAGUUAACUCACGCUAGUUACAAAGUUGUGAUUUUGCAAAGUUAACUAGCGCAGGGACAUUUUCGUCAUGACUGCAGGGCGCGAUCGAAAAGUGCAAGGUGAAGAGCAGAAUUCUAUCAACACUUCUCAAAGACUUGAUAGGUCCAUUUGUAAUACUUAUGAAAAGACAGGUCCAUUUGCACUACUCAUUUGGUGAUAAAAGCCGAUUGAUUUUGAGACAAUAGUGUCCAUUACCUCAGCUAACCCUAUGGUUAGAACCUUUGCCAAUAGUUUGCACANNNNNNNNNNNNNNNNNNNNNNNNNNNNNNNNNNNNNNNNNNNNNNNNNNNNNNNNNNNNNNNNNNNNNNNNNNNNNNNNNNNNNNNNNNNNNNNNNNNNUUAAUAAUAAUAAAAUUAAAAAAAAAAACCAAAAAAACAAAACCCGCAAGCCCCACUUGCGGGGUAUUAAAAAAAUUUAAAAAAAAAAUUAAGCCAGCCUACCCCGCAAGUGGGGGUGACAAUCUAUUAAUUUUUAAAAAAAAAAAAAUAAAAAAUAUAGGCGUGUAGUUAUAGUUAUUUAAUUUUAAAAAAAAAAAAAAAAAAAAAAGGGAGGCCGCAAGUCCCACUUGCGGGGUAGUUAAUUUUUAAAAUUUUUUUAAGGUACCCCGCAAGUGAGGGUUGCAAGGUAUCAGUAAAUUCUGAAAAGUAGGGCAUUUAUGCAAUUUUUUUUAAAACUAGGGCAUUUUUGUAUUUUUGGAAUUAAAUAAGGGCAGAAAAAAAAAAAAUUCUCAAGUGGGUCAUCAAUAAAAAAAAAUUAGAUUUUGUCCCUGUAAUUUCAGAUUCUUCCACUUUUGGUCCCUCCUUUCAUCAAGUCAACAGAAUCUGCAUAAAUUACGUCCCUGUAAUUUCAGAUUCCUCCCACUUUUGGUCCCUCAUUUUACGUGCCAUGUAUGCAGAUUCUGCUUACGUAGUGGAAUGGGGGACCAAAAGUGGAAGAAUAUGAAAUUACAGGGACAAAAUCUAAAUCUUUUUUUUUACAGGAACUAAAACUGGAAUUCGCUAAUAUUACAGGGACGAAAAGAGAUAUUUACCCAUGAUAAUAUAUAUGGCGUAAAAGAUUACUUAGAUUGUUUUAUAGGCUUUUAAGUUGUUCAACCCUAAAAAAAAAAAAUUGAUCGAAAGAUAGCUUUUCGAUAGGUUCUGUACAAAAAAAAAUCGAUUGAAAGAUACGUUCUAAUAGAUUUAUAUCAUCAGACAUUACGUUUUGAUAAAUUUAAAGGAUUUUGAAUAAAAUUGAGGGCCUAUAAAACGACAUUGGGUGUGUUUGGUUAUGAGAAGAAAAUAAGAAGAGAGAAAGAGGUAAGAGAGAGUAAGGGAAGAGAGAAAGAGGUGGGAAAUAGAGUAGAUUUAAAGACUAGACAAGCCUCCUCAAUCAACCAAUAAACACAUUCGACAUUUAAGACUUAAUUCACGCAGAGAUUUACACUAGCGUGAGUUAACUCACGCAGAGAUAUUAUUGUCAUUUCAGUUGGGAGCGAGCAAUUUCUGUUGGAUAAAGAGCAGAAUUCAUAAUGAUUCAUUGUUUUGUAUGUUUUGCAUUGCUUGUUUAGAAUGUGCGUACAAGAGCUGGCCAAUUUCGUACAACGUGAUCAAAAAUAAAAUUAUUUUAGAACUAAUAUAUUAAAUUUUAUUCGUAUACAAAAAGAUUCGCAAUAAUUUUACUACUAUACAAAAUGUAAUUUAAAACAACGUCAAGAAACUUUUUUAUAUGAUAGGUUUUAUUACUCACAUAAAAUGUAAAAUUAUUUCAUAAGCUUAACAUAAUAUAUACAGAAUAUAUACAGAGUUGAGGUUCCAGGCAACCCACUUAUUUCAUUUAUUCCCCUUGAGGUGAAUUUCUAGCACCAUAUUACUUAGCUAUUUUGUGAAGUGUAUUUUAACAUUAACGACCUUUUUGUUUAGACAAAACACCACACCCUUCCUCUUUGUUUGGUUGUGAGCAUUGAUAGUUUGAAUUAAAAGAAAUUGUAGUCCACCAUAGUUACACUUUACACGGAUGAUACAUGGUUGUGAUACUUCCUCUAUUUUAAAAUAAGUGUUAUUAUUCAAAUGUGACACUUAAUUUGAGACGGAUAGUGUAUUACUUUUCAUGAUAAGUAACAUUACCCUUUAUAAAAUGGAAUUAAAUAAGUUUUUCAAUCCUAAAAUUAUAAUGGAUUUUUUAUUUUAAUUCAUAAAAAUAAACACGAGGAUGUAUUCAUCCACACACAAAAAAAUUGUUUCGACUUUUGUCACUAUUAAACAUAAUUUUAAACAUAUAAUAAUAUGAAUAUACAUGAGUUUGACAUAAUAGAUAGACAUACUUUCCUUCAAAAAAAAAAAUAGACAUACUUUUUUCAUUCAAAAAAUGAUAGACAUACUUUUAUCCCAUGAGCAUAGUUCAGUUGGUAGAACAAUGUAUUAUUAUAUGCAGGGGUCGGAGUUCGAAUCCCGGACACUCCACUUAUUCACUUUAUAAUGUAAAUUCUAAAUAAUAAGCUACCUGAACCAAAAAAAGAUAGACAUUAUUUUUAUUUUUUUGUCUAGAUAGAUAGACAUACUUUAAACACGUCUUAAAUAUAAAAGUGAAACAAUUUUUUUUAAAUUAUGAACAUAAACUUAUCAAGAACAAAAAAGUGAAACAAUUUUUUUUAAGAGAAUUGAAACAUUUUAUUUUUAUUUUUAAGGACUAAAAUCAAAUUCUAAAUACUUUUAAGGAAGAAAAAUAUGACAUACACAUUUGUUCGGCUACUAUUGAUUACACGCACUAUAUAUAGGGGGGUAUUGAAAUUUGAAACAUUCAUCCAAAAUAUCCCAUACAGACAAAAGAAACUGAACGAGGCUUUUACAUUUGAAAAUGAGACCUGCUCUUGCUGUGCUUACUCUCCUCUUCCUUUUCUUGGUUUGAAUUUCCUUUUACAGUUUUUUAUUUUUUGUACAUUUAAAAUUUAUACAUUUUUUAUUUUGGUGAAAAUAUUUAUAAUUAUUUAUGGAUAUAGUCUCAAUUAUAAGUAGAGUUUACUUUUUAUAUUCAUUUAAUAAUUAAUGUAUUUGGUCUCUGAGAAGUGAACUUUUGCUUAUAAUUGAGACUGAAUGGUGUACUUUACAAAUGUAAAACUUUUUUAGAUGUGUUUUCAAUCAAAUAAUACAAAAUAGAUAUUUGUAAAGAUAUUUUAUAAACUAAAUUCAAAGAAUGUUAUUUUAGUGUAAUUUGAUUGAAUGAAUGUGUAAAAAAGGUGUACACAUUCGAUGUAUGAAAAUUAUUCUCAUAUUUUUUAGUAAUAUUAUUGGUUAUUUAAAAUGAAAUAUAAAAAAGUAAAAUUUACAUUUCUUGAUCAAAUCCUUCUUUCAUGAAUAAUGUCAAACAAUAAUUUUGUAUAAUUCCAUAAAUAGUAAGUUAUUAUAGAAAGUCAUGAAUUUAAUGCAUUGAAAAUUAAAAUAUAUGAUUUUUUCAAUAAACAUUUUGUUUUUUUUGAACAAAUAAAUAAUUUUUCAAUAAUUUUUUUCAAUAAACAUUUUGUUAAUUAAGGAUCUUUAAAGAAUGUCUUUAGAAGACUUGUUAAGAGGACUCUAAUUUUAUUGGCAUUCUUUUGCUAAAAACAGAAACAUAAUUGAUGUUCCCUAGAAAAAACAUUAGUCUUUUUUGUCAAUAAAUCUAGAGUUUAGAAAUUACGAUGUACUACUAACCACCAUUUUCCUUUUUCUUGUCUUCUCAUUAUAAUCCGGAGAAGUUUGCUGCUACUAUAGAAUCAAGAAAUGAUCUAAAGGAAUAUUGGAAAACUAUUAUGAAAGAUGAAGAGAUGCCGGAAGGAAUUCAAGGGCUUCUUCAACUGAAAUCUGAAAUCGAACCUAUGAAGAACUCCAAGGCACAAGAACAACUUGCCAAAGGUAAGUGCGAUGAGCAUCCCGCAACAAACACACUAAAUAUCAUAAAAAAAAAGGUGGUCACAGAAGAAUUUCAACCAAGACCCACAAUUUCAGCUUAUGGUGAUGACAAGAUUGAUAUAAAGGUAACUGAGAAACAUAUAAAAGAUUUUGAGCCAAGGCCAAGUGGCACAAGGUAUGACGGUGAUGGUUAUAAAAGCGAGAAGCUACGAGUGUACUCUGAGUUUGAACCUAGGCCAAGUGCUACAAAGUAUGAUGGUGAUGGUGAAGGUUAUAAGACUAUUAAACUACCAGGGAAUGACGAAUUUGAACCCAUACCAAGUGUUACAAGGUAUGAUGGUGAUGGUUAUAAGAGUAUGAAACUAUCGGGGAAUGAUGAGUUUGAACCCAGACCAAGUGUUACAAGGUAUGACGGUGACGGUUAUCAGAGUACAAAACUAUCGGUGAAUAAUGAGUUUGAACCUAUACCAAGUGUUACAAAGUAUGGCGGUGAUGGUUAUAAGAAUACCAAAUUAUCGGUGAAUAGUGAGUUUGAACCCAUACCAAGUGUUACAAGUUAUGGCAGUGAUGGCUAUAAGAGUAUGAAACUACCGGUUAAUGACGAGUUUGAACCCAGACCAAGUGCUACAAAGUAUGAUGGUGAUGGUUAUCAGAGUACAAAACUAUCGGUGAACAGUGAGUUUGAACCCAUACCAAGUGUUACAAGUUAUGGCAGUGAUGGCUAUAAGAGUAUGAAACUACCGGUUAACGACGAGUUUGAACCCAGACCAAGUGCUACAAGGUAUGACAGUGAUGAUUAUAGAAAAAUGAAACUACCGAUGAACGACGAAUUUGAACCUAGACCAAGCGUUAAAAAGUAUGAUGGUGAUAAUAACAAAAGCAAGAAGCUACAUGUGAACGACGAGUUUGAACCUAGGCCAAGUGCCACAAAGUAUAAUGACUAAAUAAAAUUAAGAAUGUAGCUGCCUUUAAAGGAUAUAAUGUGCUAUAAGUGUGUCCAAUAAUAACUCUGGUGUGAUGUAUUAUGGUCUUUGAAUAAAUAAUGUAAAAUAUUCGGUGAUU
rnacentral:lncRNA from 1 species